GGGGAUAUAGCUCAGUGGCGCAGCGUCUGCCUGGCAAGCGUAAGACCCUGAGUUCGAUUCCCAGUACCA
rnacentral:tRNA from 1 species